GUGUCAGCAGCCGCGGUAAUACGUAGGGACCGAGCGUUGUCCGGAAUCAUUGGGCGUAAAGAGCGUGUAGGCGGCCCCUUAAGUCCUGCGUGAAAUCCUGCGGCUCAACCGCAGACGGUCGUGGGAAACUGGAGGGCUAGAGUGCGGGAGAGGAGAGUGGAAUUCCCGGUGUAGCGGUGAAAUGCGCAGAUAUCGGGAAGAACACCCGUGGCGAAGGCGGCUCUCUGGAACGCAACUGACGCUGAGACGCGAAAGCGUGGGGAGCAAACAGGAUUAGAUACCCUGGUAGUCC
rnacentral:rRNA from 1 species